UUAAACUGAAGAGUUUGAUCCUGGCUCAGAUUGAACGCUGGCGGCAUGCCUUACACAUGCAAGUCGA
rnacentral:rRNA from 3 species